GCCAUUCUCUAAUCUUGAGUACCCAGGGACACGAUACACUGCGGAAGGCUGCAGGGACCUCUGCCCAGGAAAGCCAGGAGCCAGAAAAACUUCAUCUCUUUUACAAGAAACAUUGAGAUUCCUGUAAAAUUAAGAAAUCACACAAUUUGAUGGUCUACAUUAUCUAAAGCAAAUGAGACUUCUAUUUGGAACAAAGACUACCUUGUUGGGAAAUGAGUCUGCAAGUUAAAGUGUUUUCUGGGAUAAAAAUUUACCUGGAUGCAAGGCUAUUCAGAAUGAAGAUUAAUGAUAUGGUUUGGCUGUGUCCCCACCCAAACUUCAUCUUGAAUUCCCACGUGUUGUGAGAGGGACCUGGUGGGAGAUAAUUGAACCAUGGGGGCAGGUCUUUCUCAUGCUGUUCUCAUGAGAGUGAAUAAGUCUCAUGAAACCUGAUGGUUUUAUAAGGGGGAAUUUCCCUGCACAAGCUCUCUCUCUGCCUUUUGCCAUCCAUGUAAGACGUGACUUGGUCCUCCUUGCCUUCUACCAUGAUUAUGAGGCCUCCCCAGCCACGUGGAACUGUGAGUCCAUUAAACCUCUUUCUUUUGUAAA
rnacentral:lncRNA from 1 species